UACGGCGGUUUUUGCGGAGGGGAAACACCCGGUUACUUUCCGAACCCGGAAGUUAAGGUCUCCAGCGCCGAUGGUACUGCACUCGGGAGGGUGUGGGAGAGUAGGUCGCCGCCGGAC
rnacentral:rRNA from 1 species